AGGAUUAACGCUGGCGGCGUGCCUAACACAUGCAAGUCGAACGAGGUAGCAAUACCUAGUGGCAGACGGGUGAGUAACGCGUGGUCAACCUACCGUUGAGUGGGGGAUAACUAGCCGAAAGGUUAGCUAAUACCGCAUACGCGUCUCGGGGGCAUCCCUGGGCCGUAAAAGGAGCAAUCCGCUCGAUGACGGGACCGCGUCCCAUUAGCUAGAUGGUGGGGUAACGGCCUACCAUGGCACCGAUGGGUAGCUGGUUUGAGAGAGCGACCAGCCACACUGGGACUGAGAAACGGCCCAGACUCCUACGGGAGGCAGCAGUGAGGAAUUUUCCGCAAUGGGCGAAAGCCUGACGGAGCGACGCCGCGUGUGGGAAGAAGGCCUUCGGGUCGUAACCACUGUCGAAGGGGACGAUAAUGACGGUACCCUUGGAGGAAGCCCGGCGUAACUACGCGCCAGCAGCCGC
rnacentral:rRNA from 1 species